rnacentral:rRNA from 1 species
UACGGAAGGCAGCAGUGGGGAAUAUUGCACAAUGGGCGCAAGCCUGAUGCAGCCAUGCCGCGUGUAUGAAGAAGGCCUUCGGGUUGUAAAGUACUUUCAGUCGUGAGGAAGGUGUUAAGGUUAAUAACCUUAGCAAUUGACGUUAGCGACAGAAGAAGCACCGGCUAACUCCGUGCCAGCAGCCGCGGUAAUACGGAGGGUGCGAGCGUUAAUCGGAAUUACUGGGCGUAAAGGGCACGCAGGCGGUUAAUUAAGUUGGAUGUGAAAUCCCCGGGCUUAACCUGGGAAUGGCAUUCAAGCUGGUUAGCUAGAGUCUUGUAGAGGGGGUAGAAUUCCAUGUGUAGCGGUGAAAUGCGUAGAGAUGUGGAGGAAUACCGGUGGCGAAGGCGGCCCCUGGGACAAAGGACUGACGCUCGAUGUGCGAAAGCGUGGGGAGCGAAACAGGGAUUAGAUACCCGU